rnacentral:rRNA from 1 species
GACGAACGCUGGCGGCGUGCUUAACACAUGCAAGUCGAGCGGUAAGGCCCUUUCGGGGGUACACGAGCGGCGAACGGGUGAGUAACACGUGGGUGACCUGCCCUCAGCUCUGGGAUAAGCCUGGGAAACCGGGUCUAAUACUGGAUAUGACUCCAUGACGCAUGUUGUGGGGUGGAAAGCCUUGUGCGGCUGAGGAUGGGCCCGCGGCCUAUCAGCUUGUUGGUGGGGUGANGGCCCUACCAAGGCGACGACGGGUAGCCGGCCUGAGAGGGCGACCGGCCACACUGGGACUGAGACACGGCCCAGACUCCUACGGGAGGCAGCAGUGGGGAAUCUUGCGCAAUGGGCGAAAGCCUGACGCAGCGACGCCGCGUGAGGGAUGACGGCCUGG